GAUGAACGCUGGCGGUGUGCCUAAUACAUGCAAGUCGAGCGAACAGCCGAGGCUUUUCCUCCUCUGACGUUGGCGGCGGACGGGUAAGUCAUACGUGACUAACCCACCUUACCGACAGGAACCAAGUAGAGAAGCCGUAGUAACUGCCGGGUAAUCUUUCGAUCCGGAUGGUUCAUAAGUGAAACUUCGUUUUCCUGUCCGUUAGCGGUGCGCCCCCGCCGGAUUAGCUAGUUGGUAAGGUAACGGCUUACCAAGGCAGCGAUACGUAGCCGACCUGAGAGGGUGAUCAGCCACACUGGAACUGAGACACGGCCCAGACUCCUACGGGAGGCAGCAGUAGGGAAUCUUCCGCAAUGGGCGAAAGCCUGACGGAGCAACGCCGCGUGAGUGAUGAAGGUCUUCGGGUUGUAAAACCCUGUCAGGAGGGAAGAAGGAAUGUCGAAGAAUAGCUGCGCGUGUUGACGGUACCUAAACAGAAAGCCACGGCUAACUACGUG
rnacentral:rRNA from 1 species